rnacentral:misc_RNA from 1 species
GGAGAACGAGCCACGUGGGGGAAAAAGGUGGAUAAUUAAGCGACUAGAUAAUUUGAACUUAUCUUGAUUAUUGCUAGUUUUGGGAGGUUUAGGAGGGGGAUCAUUUGUUUAAUGACUAUGAGAGAAGAGUUUCAGAGAUGUGGAUGCUGGAGAACAACAGAUGGUUGAAGCUAAAUGACGAGGAGAUAGGCCAUAUUUGAGAGUUUGAGAAGCCAUGGUUGUUUUCUGCACAACGCUUGAUGGAAUUUAUUAUGAAAGUCAACGACGGAUUGCAUAAAAGAGAAGCUUUCUGAACGAUUCUACAGGGGAACUAACGUAAAACUUCGUCUUUAGUUCAAGAGAAUCAAGCAAGUUGUUAGUAGUUUCACAGAGACGAUGCUCAAACUGACUUUGACCAGAGGUGAAGAGUUCAGCUGAGCUAGUGGUGAAACAAUGAUGCCCAAAUGCUAAAGUUCAAAGCUAGACCACUUAACAUAAAGGUAAUAA